rnacentral:rRNA from 1 species
AUGCAUCAGGUGAUUCUGAACAAGCCGGCGGUAUUCCGAUGGAUCCAUGGCCUUCUCAAGGAGAUGAACACCGACAUCAUGUGCCUCCGUCUCGGAGCUACUCAUGUCAUUGUUGUGACAUGUCCACAGAUGGCCUCUGAGGUACUACGAAAAAAUGAUGAAGUUUUUGCCUCCCGUCCCACCACCUUCGCCUCGGGCAUAUUCAGCUUCGGGUACAAGGGCUCCAUCUUCUCACCACACGGAGACCAGUGGAAGAAGAUGAGGCGCGUUCUCACUGUUGAGAUCCUCGCAUCGUCCAUGGAGCGAAAGCUCCACCACCUCCGGAAAGAGGAGUACGACCACCUUGUGAGGUACAUUAAUAAAACUCAUUGCAGCGACAUGGCAUGUCCAGGCAACUUUGUCAACGUCCGUCAUGUAACCCAACACUUCGUUGGUAACAUGAUAAGAAGGCUUGUGUUCGGUAAAAGAUACUUCACUUCAUCCACUAGUGGGCCUGGACAUGAUGAGGUGGCACAUGUUGCCGCUCUCUUCACGGCCCUCAACCAUCUCUACAGCUUUUGUGUGUCCGACUACUUCCCAGCCCUCAUAGGCCUUGACCUAGAUGGCCAUGAAAAGGUUUCCAAGGAUGCCAUGCAAACACUCAACCGGUUGCAUGACCCCAUUAUAGAGGAGCGGAUCCGCGAAAGGUCAUCCACUCUUCAGAUAUUUGGUGAAAAGUUAGAGGCCAGAGACUUUCUGGAUGUCCUGGUUCAUCUUAAAGAUGCAGAGGGACAACCAAUGCUUUCCCUAGAAGAGAUUAGAGCACAAACAGCGGAAAUGAUGUUUGCAGCAGUCGAUAACCCAUCUAAUGCGGUUGAGUGGGCACUCGCUGAGAUGAUGAACAUGCCAGACAUCAUGCAAAAAGCAACCGAGGAACUCGAUGCUGUCGUCGGUAAAGAUAGACUAGUGCAGGAGUCUGACAUUCCUCAGCUAAACUAUCUCAAAUCGUGCAUCCGGGAGGCCUUCCGCUUACAUCCGUACCAUGCUCUUAACGUACCCCAUGUCGCCAUGGCGGACACAACUGUUGCUGGCUACACCAUCCCCAAGGAUAGCCACAUACUUUUAAGCCGGCUUGGACUUGGCCGCAAUCCCAAGAUCUGGACUAAACCACUGGAGUUUCAGCCUGAGAGGCAUUUGAACACUGCGAAUAGGCAUUUGAACACUGCGAAUGUACUUCUCACUGAUCCAGGACUACGUUUCAUUUCAUUUAGCAGUGGGAGGAGGGGUUGUCCUGGGAUUUCACUUGGUACCUCUAUCACAAUGAUGUUAUUCGCAAGGAUGUUGCAGGGAUUCACUUGGACAAAGCUUCCCGGUGUUAAGAGUAUCAAUCUCCAAGAAGGCAAUGCGGGCCUUGCACUAGCUAAACCCCUUAAGUCGUCGUCAUAUUAA